rnacentral:rRNA from 1 species
UACAGAGGGGGCAAGCGUUAUUCGGAAUUAUUGGGCGUAAAGGGCGCGUAGGCGGCUUUGCAAGUGACGGGUGAAAGCCCUCGGCUUAACCGAGGAACUGCCUGUCAGACUGUGAGGCUUGAGACCGGGAGAGGUGAGUGGAAUUCCCAGUGUAGCGGUGAAAUUCGUAGAUAUUCGGAGGAACACCAGUGGCGAAGGCGGCUCACUGGUCCAUUACUGACGCUGAGGUGCGAAAGCGUGGGGAGCAAACAGG